rnacentral:rRNA from 1 species
GGGGGGGGGGGGGGGGGGGGGGGGGGGGGGGGGGGGGGGGGGGGGAGGGGGGGCUGGGGGGGGGGGGGUUGGGGGGGGGGGGGUGGGUAACACGGGGGUAACCUACCUAUAAGGCUGGGAGAAGUUCGGGAAAGCGGAGGUAAUGCCGGAUAACAUGUUGCACCGCAUGGGUCAACAGUGACAGACGGUCUUGCUGUGCGUUAUAGAUGGAUCCGCGGCGCAUUAGCUAGUUGUUAAGGUAACGGCUUACCAAGGCAACGAUGCGUAGCGUACCUGAGAGGGUGAUCGGCCACACUGGAACUGAGCCACGGUCCAGACUCCUACGGGAGGCAGCAGUAGGGAAUCUUCCGCAAUGGGCGAAAGCCUGACGGAGCAACGCCGCGUGAGUGAUGAAGGUCUUCGGAUCGUAAAACUCUGUUAUUAGGGAAGAACAAAUGUGUAAGUAACUAUGCACGUCUUGACGGUACCUAAUCAGAAAGCCACGGCUAACUACGUG